AUUUUUUGGGCAAUAUUAUCCUACUAUUUCAAACUGUUUAGUUUAUAUUGUCGCAUUAGCUGAUUUGUUUGUUGAAUUUGGCGAGGGUGAGAAUAUUUAUGAACUUGCUAUAACUGAAAUGAAACAAAAAUUUAAAAAAUAUUUUUUUCCUAUCCCUCCUAGUUUUGAUGUUGCUGCAAUGUUAAAUCCUAUAAUGAAAUUGGGAGGUCCUCAUUUUUGGUAUUCAAAUAU
rnacentral:lncRNA from 1 species